UUCUCUCACUUCUCUGAGCAAGAAAAAAAAAUCCUGAAAAUUCAACCACAUUCACCACAAAGAAAAACCACGCCUCGUGUUUUAAUAAGUCACUGUUGGUAUCUUUUUCUUGAUUUACUCAACUAUAUGGAUCGCUUCUGACACUUCACCCUCGCAAAAUUUCGUAGAUGCUUUAAUAUUUGUGCAUGGUGAGACUGAAGUGAAGACUUCUAAAAAUCGGACAAUUCAUUGAUAAUUGUCAUGUAAUUUCCUGGUAUAACAUCCCAACCUAUACAUUGUAGUUAAAAUAUGAUAACAAUAUCAACCUCAAAUUCAACUAAUAUUUUGUAUGCAAUCAAGAAAAAUUUGGAAAUGCUGGUGGUUAAUUUUACUGCAAUUAUUACACAAGAUAUGAUUACACUCCUUUAUCAUUACCCAAUCCUGUCAGAAUUGCUAUCACAUGUGAAUGCAAUAUAAUUUUUGUACACAAUCAUUAUUUAAUUACUGUUUUCAGCAUAAAUUAUGCCUUAAGAGGCCUUCUCCAGACAAUAUUUAUUGCAAGCUAUAUGAUAUUUGCUCCAAUAUUUGGCUAUAUUUGUGAAAGAUACAGUUGCAAGCUCAUUAUGAUCUAUUGCCUCGUUAUCUGGUCCUUAACAACAUUUCUUAGCACACUACUUAAUAAACACCUAUGUAAGCUUUUACUGAUUUCAUACAGUGAGUUAGAAGUCAGAUAUGUUAAAAAAGAAGGAAAAUGGUAGGUUAAUGAAUAGUUUGGUAUGUUCUUGGUUCAAAUGUAUCUUCCGCAUUUCGUGGUGGCAAUAAUUUUAUAAUAAAGAAAACACAGGGUAUGUAAACAUGUGAAAUAAACAUGUUAUUACUUGAUGUGUUUCAGGUAACUCCAAUCUUGGGUGUGCUUCUUAUCAUCUUGGGCUUUAUAUCUGUUGUUUGAACCUGUCUAGGGGCAAAUUGAAAAGAGUCAGGGUGAUAUUGUUGCAGACAAGGAUGUUAUCAUUCGUCGUUCAUGGUUGAAUGAUGCGAAACAUAUGUUACGCUGAUACAGACAGAGCCACAGCAUCGGCAGUCCUUAUAUUGUGGGUUUGGUAACCGCAGCUUCAAAGUUUCUGACUUUACAGGAGUCAGUAAGAGAUGCUGCCGAUCUCUAUUUAUCAUUUAAGCAUAUUCCUCU